AGGGAGUAGUUCAGUUUGGAAAUUGGGGCCCCUUGGCCUUGAAUUGUAGUUUGGAGAUGUGCCGCCAAUGGAGGCGUAGAUGUAUACCUCUUGGAAGAGAGUAUCAGUGAGGGUGAGAGUCCCGUUUGCCAUCUGCAGCCCGCUGUGCACGGGGCGCUUCCAAAGAGUCACGUUCCUCGGAACUGGAGCGCAAAGUGGGUGGUAACUUUCAUCUCAAGCUGAAUACGGUUUCGAGACCGAUAGUGAACAAGUACCAUGAGGGAAAGGUGAAAAGGACUUUGAGAAGAGAGUUACAAGUGCCUGAAAUCGCUGGAAGCAAAGCGAAGGGAACUAUGGCUGCUUGGUAAAAUCUUCUGCGCGCUCACAGGAUGGCUUGCUGUUUCAACGCAAGUGCGGCAGCUAGUCCCCAUCGAAGCGUGCGCUGUGUUUUUUGCCGCGCAUGUCAACGCCAACUUGCAAAUGAGGAAUGCUUCAGGGACACGACAACCUGCCUCCGGGCAGAUGAACGUGCCUSGCAGGAUUCGUUUGCCCAUUGAUU
rnacentral:rRNA from 1 species